UAACCUGCCUCAUACAGGGGGAUAGCAGCUGGAAACGGCUGGUAAUACCGCAUAAGCGCACAGUACCACAUGGUACAGUGUGAAAAACUCCGGUGGUAUGAGAUGGACCCGCGUCUGAUUAGCUUGUUGGCGGGGUAACGGCCCACCAAGGCGACGAUCAGUAUCCGACCUGAGAGGGUGACCGGCCACAUUGGGGCUGAGACACGGCCCAGACUCCUACGGGAGGCAGCAGUGGGGAAUAUUGCACAAUGGAGGAAACUCUGAUGCAGCGACGCCGCGUGAGUGAAGAAGUAGUUCGCUAUGUAAAGCUCUAUCAGCAGGGAAGAUAGUGACGGUACCUGAGUAAGAAGCUCCGGCUAAAUACGUGCCAGCAGCCGCGGUAAUACGUAUGGAGCAAGCGUUAUCCGGAUUUACUGGGUGUAAAGGGAGUGUAGGUGGCCAGGCAAGUCAGAAGUGAAAGCCCGGGGCUCAACCCCGGGACUGCUUUUGAAACUGCAGGGCUAGAGUGCAGGAGGGGCAAGUGGAAUUCCUAGUGUAGCGGUGAAAUGCGUAGAUAUUAGGAGGAACACCAGUGGCGAAGGCGGCUUGCUGGACUGUAACUGACACUGAGGCUCGAAAGCGUGGGGAGCA
rnacentral:rRNA from 1 species